GGACGAACGCUGGCGGCGUGCUUAACACAUGCAAGUCGAGCGGUAAGGCCCUUUCGGGGGUACGACGAGCGGCGAACGGGUGAGUAACACGUGGGUGACCUGCCCUUAGCUCUGGGAUAAGCCUGGGAAACUGGGUCUAAUACCGGAUAUGACUCCAUGACGCAUGUUGUGGGGUGGAAAGCCUUGUGCGGCUAGGGAUGGGCCCGCGGCCUAUCAGCUUGUUGGUGGGGUGAUGGCCUACCAAGGCGACGACGGGUAGCCGGCCUGAGAGGGCGACCGGCCACACUGGGACUGAGACACGGCCCAGACUCCUACGGGAGGCAGCAGUGGGGAAGUCUUGCGCAAUGGGCGAAAGCCUGACGCAGCGACGCCGCGUGAGGGAUGACGGCCUCGG
rnacentral:rRNA from 1 species